UGGGGAAUAUUGCACAAUGGGGGAAACCCUGAUGCAGCGACGCCGCGUGAACGAAGAAGGUAUUCGUAUCGUAAAGUUCUGUCCUAUGGGAAGAUAAUGACAGUACCAUAGAAGAAAGCUCCGGCUAAAUACGUGCCAGCAGCCGCGGUAAUACGUAUGGAGCGAGCGUUGUCCGGAAUUAUUGGGCGUAAAGGGUACGCAGGCGGUUUAAUAAGUCGAAUAUUAAAGAUCGGGGCUCAACCCCGUAAAGCAUUGGAAACUGAUAAACUUGAGUAGUGGAGAGGAAAGUGGAAUUCCUAGUGUAGUGGUGAAAUACGUAGAUAUUAGGAGGAAUACCAGUAGCGAAGGCGACUUUCUGGACACAAACUGACGCUGAGGUACGAAAGCGUGGGGAGCAAACAGG
rnacentral:rRNA from 1 species